UCGCUGGAUUGAGUGUUUAGCUGUUAACUAAAAUAUUACGGGAUCAAGGCCCGUCUUUCUAG
rnacentral:tRNA from 1 species